GUCCUCCUGCAUAAGGGAAACGACGAUUAAAAACUUUCCCCUCCCCCAUUUCCUCAACUCUUCAGUUCUGGCAUUCAGGGAUAGGUCUGUUCCAGGUGACAUGCAAAGCUAAGGAAAAUAAUGGUAGCCAGCUCGGUAUCAUCACUCUUUUCCUGAAACUACUGGCUGUGAUUUUGAUAAAGAACAUUGGCCAAGAAAUACAUAAUUCAACAUACAUAUACUUGAAUUGCCCCAAAAUAAAGAUUAUUGAAUCUCUGAACAAAAACCAAAGAGGAGUAAAUCCACCCUG